AAGANNUAUCGGCUUAAGAUGAGCCCGCGUUGGAUUAGCUGGUUGGUAGGGUAAUGGCCUACCAAGGCGACGAUCCAUAGCUGGUCUGAGAGGAUGAUCAGCCACACUGGGACUGAGACACGGCCCAGACUCCUACGGGAGGCAGCAGUGGGGAAUAUUGGACAAUGGGCGCAAGCCUGAUCCAGCCAUGCCGCGUGAGUGAUGAAGGCCUUAGGGUUGUAAAGCUCUUUCACCGGUGAAGAUAAUGACGGUAACCGGAGAAGAAGCCCCGGCUAACUUCGUGCCAGCAGCCGCGGUAAUACGAAGGGGGCUAGCGUUGUUCGGAUUUACUGGGCGUAAAGCGCACGCAGGCGGAUAUUUAAGUCAGAGGUGAAAUCCCGGGGCUCAACCCUGGAAUUGCCUUUGAUACUGGGUAUCUGGAGUACAGAAGAGGUAAGUGGAAUUCCGAGUGUAGAGGUGAAAUUCGUAGAUAUUCGGAGGAACACCAGUGGCGAAGGCGGCUU
rnacentral:rRNA from 2 species